CCUGGCGACCUUAGCGCGGUGGUCCCACCUGACCCCAUGCCGAACUCAGAAGUGAAACGCCGUAGCGCCGAUGGUAGUGUGGGGUUUCCCCAUGCGAGAGUAGGGAACUGCCAGGC
rnacentral:rRNA from 1 species